ACUGGAAGAUGCUGCAGAAAGACUGUUUUCUUUGAUAAUCACAAUUUGAAGAUCGCAAUACAUUUUGUGGUGUUUGGCUUGCCUUUAUAUUCAAACGCAUGCGUUUCCUGUACCUUUGCAAGUGCCUCAUCGUCCACUCAAUUCCUUUUCUAAAGAAAACCGUUGGCCGAAAACCCUUCAAAGUGGGGUAAUCUUGUUCAAAACAAUUACCCACACAUUCUUCAAUUCAAAUUUAUUUCAAAAAAUUAGUAUAACAAUUAAUAAACUCAAUUAAACGAGUCUUUUUCGAUCGGAUCUCUGGUGGGCGUCACGUGACCAGACUAGCAGACUACUCAAUCGUCAAGUCACGCACUAUGCCUCACAGGUGUUUAACCGUUUAUACAUUUCCCAUUUAAUCAGACUCGGAUUAAAUCAAAUGUAUAAUUCGCGACACAUGUUAAGGAACAGACGUGUGUAACUGUAAGAAACGGUAAAGUUUUGAGCACGCCCUUGUGGAUAUCAACCAGCAAAGGAGAACUCGGGCGACAAGAAAAGUUUGGCCGUGGUGUUAUGGUCUUACUCGUCAAAGACAUUGCCACGCCCAGUACCGUAAAAGGGAAUAUCGAUACAAUAGUACGACGGUGAGCAAUCCUUGCCUCAACAGCCCAUGCACUCCCUUCUGUGUCCUUAUUCCGGGCGGAUAUCCUUUCACCUGCCCCGACAGCACGAUCCUGAUUCAAUCUGGUGAAGAACUGUCGUGGAACGUGACUGAGGAACGACCUCAACCGUCUCCUUUUGCGCUGCCCUUGCCAGAAUCUUGGGGUCUGCACCGGCGACGGCCAAGUCCAUUGCCAGUGCCCCAACGAUUAUUACGAAGGCGCCCAUUGCGAGACCCACUUGUUGCGCCGUAGUUAACAACAAUCACGAGUUGUACCAGUCGAUUAUGAAAUCGCUUGGUACAACAGCAAACUAUUGAGGGUUUAACUUUGGUCUUUUUCAUCAAAUGUUUUGCAACUGAUUUAUUUUCUUACGUGUUUUUAAAUUUUGUUUUUCUAAAUAAACGAGUAUAAUCCUUUUCUA